CGGGCUGUCAGAGCCGGCCGGUCCCGGGCGAGCUCGGGGCGGCCGCGGGAUGCGGCGCUGAGCGCGCUCAGCUCGCCUCUCUCCGUCCGUCGGUCGGUCACCCCGCCCGGGCUCCGGCACGCCGAGAUUCCCUCCCGCAAGCUCAUGAUGUGCCUGGAAAGCGACGGCUCCUCCGGCAGCAGCCCGGGCUGCGGCGGGCGGCUCCGAGCCGGCGACGAGGAGGAGGAGGAGGACGGCGAGCAGGGCUGCUGCGGCCGGGGCGCCGAGGGCGAGGUGCAGACUCUGUCGGGCCGGAUGAACCCGCCGGCGGCCGGCAAGCACCCCGACCGCCCCUCCGCCCUCCGYAAGGCGCCGAGCCUCGGCCGGGCCCGCGUAGCGGCCGCUGGUAUCCUCAGCGUGGGCAACGUGCUCAACUACCUGGACCGGUACACGGUGGCAGGUGUGUUACUAGAUAUCCAGCAGCACUUUGGAGUCAAAGACAGUGGAGCUGGCUUGCUACAGACAGUUUUCAUCUGUAGUUUCAUGGUCGCAGCACCGAUCUUUGGUUACCUUGGUGACCGGUUCAACAGAAAGAUCAUUCUCAGCUGUGGGAUCUUCUUUUGGUCAGCUGUCACUUUUUCAAGCUCCUUCAUCACUGAACAGUAUUUCUGGCUCCUUGUGCUCUCACGGGGUUUGGUUGGCAUUGGUGAAGCGAGUUAUUCCACUAUUGCACCAACAAUUAUUGGAGACCUGUUCACCAAAAACACAAGGACCCUUAUGCUGUCUGUCUUCUACUUUGCAAUUCCUCUGGGCAGUGGCUUGGGGUACAUCACUGGGUCCAGUGUGAAGCAGGUUGCUGGAGACUGGCACUGGGCACUGCGGGUAUCUCCACUCCUAGGAAUGAUAACAGGGACGCUCAUCUUGAUAUUUGUGCCUGCUGCUAAAAGAGGAAAUGCUGAACAACUUGGGGGGCAGCUGAAGGCUCGGACUUCAUGGCUGAGAGACAUGAAAGCAUUGAUUAGAAACCGCAGCUACGUGUUCUCAUCCUUGGCCACCUCAGCUGUCUCCUUUGCCACAGGAGCACUUGGCAUGUGGAUUCCUCUGUACCUUCACAGAGCACAGGUUGUGCAGAAGACAGCAGAGACCUGCAGCUCCCAGCCCUGUGGCACCAAAGAUAGUUUGAUCUUUGGAGCAAUCACUUGCUUCACUGGUUUCCUGGGUGUGAUCACCGGGGCAGGAGCAACCAAAUGGUGCCGGUCAAAGACCCAGCGAGCUGAUCCUCUUGUYUGUGCUGUUGGAAUGCUGGGAUCAGCCAUCUUCAUCUGUCUGAUCUUUGUGGCUGCCAAGAGCAGCAUUGUGGGAGCCUAUAUUUGCAUUUUUAUCGGAGAAACUCUUCUGUUUUCAAACUGGGCUAUCACAGCAGACAUACUAAUGUAUGUGGUCAUUCCAACUCGCCGUGCAACUGCAGUGGCCUUGCAGAGUUUCACUUCACACCUCCUGGGAGAUGCUGGCAGUCCUUAUCUCAUUGGAUUUAUCUCAGACCUGAUACGACAAAGCACAAAGGAGUCCCCAGUYUGGGAGUUCCUCAGCCUGGGUUACGCGCUCAUGCUCUGCCCAUUUGUCGUCGUCCUGGGAGGGAUGUUCUUCCUGGCCACWGCCCUCUUCUUCCUCAGUGACCGAGCCAAAGCUGAGCAACAUAAAGAAACCGAUUCGGAUCAUCUCACGGUUGGCAACUACAGUAAUUCAGAAGACGCUUCCACAUGACAUACAAACCUCUGGGGGUGAAUCACCUCGUGAUGCCACCAGCCUCUGUGAAAGUCUGAGAAGCUGCCAGUGAAGGAAAUGACACGUGGACUGCUGCUCCCACACCACCAAUCUCGAGCUCGAAGCCCUCCYGUACUGGAUACCAGUGGAUCCUUCAGCUCCACAUCCCAGAGGGGYUCUCCAGCACUAAAUCCAUCCCCCACUGCUGCAGCCUGCAGGGUCAGGCACCAGGAGAUGAGCAGMUGGGAACACGGGAACUUCUGGAGCACAAGGACAUUCACAGGGUCCCCUGAGCAUGGAAACCAACUGUCCACUGGACCCAGAAAGUGCUGCCCAAGUGAGCGACUGUAGAUUGUGUAAAUUGUUUUAGUUAUAGCCAAUGAAGCCACACUGUUUGUAGGGCAGCUGGUGUCCUAUGGAAUGCUGCUGCUCUGCCAGCACUCCCACUCCCACGGACUGCACUAGCUUGGGACCUGUUCAUCACCUAUUCUUUGACACUGAAGGCUCAAUCCAGAUUAUUAUUUUUUAUUUAAAUAUGUUAUAGGAUGCUUUAUCUCUGCUGAAGACAUUAGAUGAAAUAUAUAUAUAUAUUUAGAUAAACAGUUUUUAUUUAAAUAUUAGAAAUCUGGAGCUACCUGUGCAACCAUAGCAGGCAUGAAUAACGUCCACAGCUCUCCCCCUCUCAGUGCCCUGGUGCCAGGGCCUGCAAGGGCACCACAGGAAAAUUUCCAGUGGGUGACCUACCUAUCACUGAGACUGAGCAGUGGGACAGAGGAGAGAGUUUCACUGCACUGGGUAUGCUGGUGGUUGUCACAGAAAGGCCCAGAAGAACAUUGGACAGAAAUCCCUACGGGCUCUAGAGUUUUCCAUAUGCUAAAUUCAGCCUUGCCUAGGAGGUUCACAGGCUUUUGAAAUAACAAAAUCCACCUUGUUGAAUGGCUGUACCUUGGGCCUGGGAGUGCAAUACUGCUGUGCCAGUGACCUCGUGCUUUGUUUACAUGAUACCAUAUCACUUGGACUGUCAAUGCUAAUUCUCCCUGUCAACAUUCCAAAGCAGGUGGCUGACACUCUGCCUUUGGGGCAGUGCUUGGGUUYCUGCACACCCAACCCUGACCUGUCCCAGAGCCUGUCACUGGGGUGUCACUUGUACCCUUACAAAGGUGCUUUUUGAGAGCUUUCAGACAAGGCCAGUGCCUGAGCUGGGUUAGACUCAAAUGCAGAAGCAUGUCACAGUGCCAUUCCACUGGAGUCUUGUUUCCUGCACUUGACCUCCACAAGCCAAAUUUAUGCUGUGUCAGCUGGAUGGGGGAGGAAGGGGAGUACAGGGAGACCCUGCAGAGGGCCAGGCUGGCACAGGGAGGGCACUGCCACAGGGAGGGCACUGCCACAGCGAGGGCACUGUCACAGGGAGGGCACUGUCACAGAGAGGGCACUGCCACAGGGAGCCCCCACUCCCUCUGUUCUGAGCCCUCUCUCACAGUUCAGAUCCCCCUCCAGUUCAGCACAACUGGAGCAGGGGAAGGCACCUCACUCCUGUGCUCAUGGCUGACCAGGGGCUGCACUUGGACUCCAAGGAAGACUAAAUCACCUCAGGCAAUGCCAGAGGGGGGUUGGAUGUGAGUUAAGGCAGGGAGCUGCUGUCCUGGAUGUGCCAUAAGAUCACUUGG